CUUCAAGCGCUGUUCGCUGUGAAAUAGAGAAACUCCGAUUAUUAGUCAGCCGAAUCUGCCAAGGUUUCGGCAAGUCUGAUACAGAAUUUGACGUCAGAUUCUCAGCAAAGACGAGCUAAUCCCUGAUAUUAGAAAGUGACGACAGUGUUUCCAGGCUCAUGUUAAUCGUUUCCUUGCUUAAAUCCGUUCGAUGUGGUUAGGUGAAUGCCUAACGGUCCGGAUUUUGGAGUGGGAAACGUGGUAUGCAAAUAAAAUUUCUAAUGAAAUUCCAAUUGGAAUUUAAUUUAUGUUUAUUGGAGCGGCCGUUAGCGGCCGAUCUCCAAAAUUUCAAAUACAAGUAUACAAUGGGUAAAGAAAGUAUUGGCACAUCCAAUGUUUUUAAAACAUCUUUACAUAUUGAAGUCGUAUAUUAAUUCAAAAUAUAUUCUUGAUGUCUUUUAAUAUUUUCGCCUCCGAUGCGAAGAAAUUUGUGCAGAGGAGGCGUAACGCCGAAUUACAAACACAGAAUGUACAGCAGACUGUAAAAAACGGCGGGAGGCAUGUCAUGGUUUUGGGGUCGUAUGUCGUACAACGAAGUGGGAAAUUUGGCAUUUGUAGAAGGUAAUAUGAAUGCACUGAUGUGCAACAAAGAUAAACAUUAAAGAAACUUUUCGGUUUCAACACGACAACAACCCAAAACAUACGGCGAGGAAAAUAAAAGAAUGGCUAUUUUAUAAUGUGGCAAAGCAACUUCUUACCCAAUCUCAAUCAUAAAAGUAUGAAAUAAUAAUUUUGUUAUGCCUAAUACUAUAGAAAUGCGAUCUAUCAUUGCAGUCGUAAGUGUGCCAAUACUUUUUUCUCUGUGAAAUUUUCAUCUUUCUUUUAUAACUUAGUUAAACUACAUUAUUUCGAGUUCUACACUAUUUCUGUACAUUAAACGACAUUAAGGAUAUAUUUUGUAUUAAUAUAUGUACGACUUCAAUAUGUAAACAUAUUUUAAAUACAUUGGGUGUGCCAAUACUUUUUUGACCCACUGUGUAUAAUAUUUAGAAAUAAUUUCGAAUUGCCCUUGAGAUCAGGGCAUGUCGUACCAGCUUCUAGCGCCGAUUACUAAAAACAAAACGAACAACUGAAAGGUUUAUUAGCUAUUCUGUUCGUACACGACAGAAUUUAAUAACUGAUUAGUGGACUGUAUUAUUGAAUUAGUAUAUCGCGUUCGGUAUAAGCCCAGGCAAGCACGAAGACAUUUUCGUUCAAAUUCUCUCAGCUUUUCUGCAAGGUUGUGAUUUAUUCCAGCACACAGGAGCGGCAAUACGUAAGAAUUGAACGAAUAAGUAACAUGUAUAAGAUUACUCUAGUUUUUCUUGAAAGGGAGCGGUUACGGAAAAUGCGACCGUUUGCUUGAAAUGCAGACCGGUCUUUAAUUAUUGCAGUGGACAUUGCCCCGCAGAAGAUAAUCGAUAUUGAAUCCGAGGUAUUUAACUAUUUUUUUGUGAGGUACAGCGACCACUGUUUGUAAGCCAGGUAUUGUUGUGCUAAUUUGAAAAUCACUAUAUCCAAUUUUCCACUUGGAAGUUAUAUAAUGCACCGGUUUGCGGAAUAAAAUUGUUUCACACUUCCCUGGGUUCAACCUGAGGUUCCACGCAGAGUAAUAUUUGUUAAUUUUAUUGACAAUAUCUUCAAGAUUUUGUUUUACUACGAGUGCUCUUCGAUCCUCUGUAUAAACUAUAAUGUCAUCGGCAAACCCUGUCGCUUUAGUAGAGCUGCCAAGUUUAUUUAGAUCAGACAGGUUUAAUAACUCACAAGUAUAUAUGUUAAACAAUAUUGAGGAGUCAACGGUUCUUUGUUGGAGCCCUUCUAAAAUACUGAAUGUAAGCGAUGAUUGCUCGUUGUUAGAUAAGAAAUCAGAUAACGAACGACUUAUUGCUAACCAUGUCCCAGUUAUUCAUUGUUGUGCAGCGUAGAAUUCUGCUAGGUAGUAUUAUUAUUCAUCUCUUCCCAAACAAGUCGAUGAGGAUAAAGCUGAUUACGUCCGUCCCUCAUAGUCAAGUUCGAGUCCUGUCUCUGACCGCGUUGAUGCUCGGCCUUGGCAGCCUGUGCAAAUGAGCGAUUUUCACGAACCAGGGAGGAAAUGACAUCUAUCUUCCGAGCUGUCCUCGUUGAUCUGGUAUUAUUAACUACUUUUCUUUGCGAGGUCGCAAACUUAAGAUAGGGGCAACCCCUAUAGCUAGUUGGAUGCCCUUUUUGCCCACAGUUUGCACAUUUCAGGUCCGUCUUAUCAGUAUCAUUGUUAAGGUGGCAUUUUCCCGAUUCAUGUGUAAGAGCACAUUUUACACAUCGAUAAUUCAGGCAGCAGUUCUUACUGGCGUAGCCCACCCGUUGACAUCUGCGGUAUUGGUAGACAUCCUUUUUUCUAAUGCGCUCCCAUUUAAUUUUUUGGUACGCUAUAGCUUUAAUUUUGAACAGCUCUCUCAAGUUGCUCUCAUUAUCGAAUUAG